rnacentral:lncRNA from 1 species
GCUCUGACAGUAUAUAUAUUUGUAUAUUUGUAGCUUCAGCUGAUGAAAUAAACAAAAUGCCUAGCUAAUAUAUGAGAUCUCCUAAUAUAUAGUUCAAAGGACAUAGAAUCUCAGAGAUGAUGAAAGCAAAUAAAAAUAUAAAAUAGGUAAAAUCGAGAAGCCAAUGACAUCGACCAUUUCGGUGUCAGGAGCCGAAUAUACGAACAGGAACACAGAUUGGCAAGUUAUUGUUUUUUUUUUCUUUUUAACAACAGAUCAGAGCAUCUCUGAACUGUUGGGCGGCCAAAAUCUAAGUGCAAACUUUUUGAAACGACGUUAUUGUCGCAUCCAAUGAUAUGGUAUCUCCGUCUGCUACUUGUCUGGAAACAAUGGAUUAUCAUAAUCAAAACAAUGUCAUUGUCUUGCCGUUAUUUACUCAAACAUAAAGUUCUAUGUUGGUUCAAUUAGUUUACAUACUAUUGAAUCAUCACCUGAUCGAUCAAAUUAAAGGACUGUGUCAACACAUGUACGCUGGCUAGUUAAAUCCAGAGAAAUCAGGCCGGACAAUACACGAACUUGAUGUUUGCCAGAUUUUGUGUUAGUGCGAGCAUACAGUAUCGGAAAUGGCCAGCCAUGCAGGCAAGAUCUAGAAUCUAUCUAUUUCAGCAGGCCAAAUGGAAUGUUCCUUCUAAAUAUCAUGCAUAGAUCAAACUAACCAAAAGGUGUCAGUUAGCUAGAUCAUGAUAUUAUUAUAUUAGUAUUAUUAUUCUAUUUCUGAUUCAACGAAUUAUCCUUAUCAACUAUUGAACAAUGUUUUUCUCUCACAACAAAUUAGCGAACAGUG